ensembl:lncRNA LNX1-AS1 LNX1 antisense RNA 1
GGCAGGUGGAACAAUCGUGCGGUCAGCUCCACCUGCCACAACCCUUCCUGAAAGAUCCAGGCCCACAGAAAAGCCAGGAUCCUGUCUUUAAAGACUGCUCUGCUCUCCCACCUCAUCCUGUGUCCAAUAACCGCACCUUCCAACAGCGUUUCUAACCCUGUUCUCUCCAAGCGUGGCCUGCAGCACCUCUCCAGGCCUCUGUGCUGACAGCUGCCUCACCUUAAGAGUCUCCUUUCGUUAUGGCAUCUGGAAAGAUCUCACAUGGCAGGCCUGCUUCUAGUUCCUU